CGGGGGCUGCAGCUCCGCGCAGCAGCGAAUCCUCCCGCAGAGAGGGAGUAAAAAUAGCAGCAGGUUGAGGGAAGAAGAGCUCGCCCCCCGCCUGAGCCCACCGCGGAGCCCGCGGGGCGGUGCCACCGGGGCAGAGGGUGCGGGGAUGGACCCUGGUGGGGACACGGUGGGGACAGGGCGUCGUGGUGCGGGGGGCACACCGGGGACGGAGCGUGGUGGGGACAGGGUGCCACAGGGACAGGGUGUGCUGGGGGUGGGACACCGAGGGGACAGGGUGUGCUGGGGUGGAGCAUCGUGCCCAGCGGGGUCCCAUGGGGACAAAGAGCUCCAGGGAUGGGCCAUCGUGGGGACAGACAGGGUGUGCUGGGUCUGGAGCACGGUGGGGACAGGGUCCCACGGGGACAAAGUGCCCUGAGGAUGGGGCCAUCGUGGGGACGGACAGGGUGUGUGGGGGAUGGAGCAUGGUGGGGACAGGGUCCCAUGGGGACAAAGUGCCCCAGGGAUGGAGCGUGGUGGGGACAGGGUCCCAUGGGGACAAAGUGCCCCAGGGAUGGAGCAUGGUGGGGACAGGGUCCCAUGGGGACAAAGUGCCCCAGGGAUGGAGCGUGGUGGGGACAGGGUGUGCCAGGGACAGUGUCGCGGUGAUGGGGUACAUCAGGGACAGGGUGCCACGGGGACAGGACCUUCCUGGGCCAGGACACCGCAGGGACAGGGCCUCGCGGGGACGAACACACCGUGGGGACAAUCACACGGCCCAUGGGGGGGACCCCAAAAGAUCCUCAAACUCAUCGCGGUGCCCCCACGGAGCCCUGCCAGGGUGGGCUGAAGGGGGGCUCCCCCCCUGCUCCCCCCAACCCAUCGCUGACCCCCCCCGGGGGUGUGGGGGGGGGUCCCGGCCGCCAGCACAGCCCAGUUUGCUGCCUCCAUUCCCAGAAGAAAGAAUAAAGUUAAAACAUCUGUUAAUUUAUAAA